rnacentral:misc_RNA from 1 species
AUGCCAGACCUUCCUGAAAAACUAAAUUCAAGCAGAAAGAAGCAAAUCUUAGAUCAUAAUCCAGACAGGCGGUGUCUCCAAAUACCAAACAGCCAUGACAAACAGGAUUUAGACCAAUGACAAACCAGGCUUGCGUGAAUUAAUUCUAAAAGUAGAUAGGCUUCAGGGGAAUAGAAUGGAGACAAACAAAAAGAACAAAAGCAAACUGAAAGUUUUCUAGAUGAUAGAAAUAUGCAAAUACUACCAUCCAAAUAAGAAAUUAAUUCACGCAACAAAUAACACAUUGCUAUUCAUUGUAAGUUCCCAGCAGUUAAAGCUGACUGAAUUUUAACCGCUGA